ACGCUCGACACCUACGGGAGGCCAGCAGUAGGGAAUCCUCCACAAUGGACGCAAGUCUGAUGGAGCAACGCCGCGUGAGUGAAGAAGGUCUUCGGAUCGUAAAACUCUGUUGUUAGAGAAGAACACGAGUGAGAGUAACUGUUCAUUCGAUGACGGUAUCUAACCAGCAAGUCACGGCUAACUACGUGCCGGCAGCCUCGGUAAUCUGAGCGGGCGUGGCAAGGC
rnacentral:rRNA from 1 species